rnacentral:rRNA from 1 species
CACACCGCCCGUCACGCCAUGGGAGUUGGUUUUACUCGAAGGUGGUGCGCUAACCCGCAAGGGAGGCAGCCAACCACGGUGAGAUCAAUGACUGGGGCG